AAUCUCGUUAAGCUGUUUCUCUG
rnacentral:siRNA from 1 species